UGGAUCAAUGAUGACUACUGGUGGCGUAUGAGUCAUAUACGAUGAAUACGUGUCUGGAACUCUGAGGUCCAA
rnacentral:snoRNA from 1 species